CCACCCUUCCUCACCCUCAUUUAUGGGUUAGCAGCCAACAGAGCAGCAGCUUUCUGGGUAGAGGUUGUGCUUCUCUUGGUUAGCUCCUGGCUGUUGGCAGAGUUAAGCAGCUCAUCAUAAACACCAUCAUUUUUCCUGCCCUGUCCACUGGAACUGUGCUGUGACCAUCUUGAAGACUCCAAGCUAGAAUGGUAAACCGUGGUUCCUCAGAAAGUGGAGGUGCCCUUCUCCAGGCACUUGUGAGAGAACUAUUUAGCUUUCCAAGCUCAUACAACUCUGGAGGCACAGAUACAUCUGUACAAGUGUUUGAAAAAAGGUUUGACAAGAUGGAGAAGGUGGACCUAAAGGAAAUAAAGUAGGAAUUACCACUGCUAGGGCUGACCUCAGAUCUAAAGCUCCCUUUGUCAAUAGUAAAAACAAGCCUAACUUCUCAUACAUCAUGAUGACUUAGGUAUGUCCAGGUCAGCCUGCUUUUGUGACCUGGUGAACUCGAUGGCUGACCAGCCAGAUGGAAAGAUCUUUUCAGUGGAUGAGCGUAGAGUACUGGGAUGGGGACUGAAAUAACAACAACAACAACAAAAGAUACACAGCUCUGGUCUGUGGGCUGGUGUGAUUCAGGCCUGUUGUGGUGAACUGCAAAUCACCAUGCUGCACUGGACAUGCUAUGUAUGCAUUACCGGGACAAAAAAGCAAAGUACUGAUCUCUGAGUAUAAACAUACAGAGAACAGCGAGGAGCAGUCACCUUCCAAAAGACUGCUUUCUGCAGAGGAAUGUCUCUUGGAUUGUGUAUUGUGUCUCCAACACUGUGGUGAGACCUCCAGGAAAAUGCUUUGCAACAGCCUGAAACUGCUGCUUCUGCUCAACAGCCCAGAUGUGCACCAUGGCCCUGAUCCACCCUCAACAGGAAAAGAUGACCCACAAGUGACCAUUUAAGCUCCUUCUCUAUCCAAUUUGGCUCAGCCACGUGGCAUCUGCCUUCCACUGCACUGCCACAGAUCUCUACACAGCAAAUCCCUGCCUAAUAAUGAGCGCUGGGCUCAGCACAUGCUGCGACGAUGCAAGGUGAUUGUCUGCUGCUUGGAAAUCACACCCAUCCUUGAAAUGCAGAAGGGUCGGAGGGUGUGUCAGUGGGAACCCACGUCCCUGGCCUAUAGCAUCCCUCAGAACAACACAUGAAAACCCUGGAAGGUGUAUAGUCCAGGACUGGAGCAAUGCAGUGGAGAUACCUACCUUGAAUGCUGUGUGUGCAUUUCAGGAGGGAAAAAAAAAACAGCUCAAGGCAAUGUAGACACAGCGAUUUAAAAGGAAACAGAUUAAAGACAGUCAUGUGAGUGCAGCUGGGUCCUAGCAGUUACACCAUAUGCAUUUAUGGGUAGAUAUAUAACUGGCAAAGAUCCCUUCCUUUCCUUCCCUGCAGGAUAUAAAUCUUGGGAAGUGCUAUUCAUGCUGCCACCCACCCAUUACUGAGGGGCCCAGCACAUCAUCUAAGGCUAUGCUGACACACAGGGUUUCCAAACUCUAGCAAGAGAGUGUUGGCAAGGUGGGCUCCUGGAUUUCAUCCCACCUCUGCAAACUGAAUUCAAUAGGACAGACACAAGGGGUGCGAGCUUGCAACAGACAAAGUUAAGGCAGGCUGAAUGGCAGAUUUGGAUGGUUUUCCCAAUCUCCAUGUGUUUGUGCAGCCACUCAUUGCCUCAUCAGCAUCUGCAGCACAAAUUGUUAAGUGCUAUGGGGGCAUUUACUCUGGGGUAGUGAGCUUGGCCAGCAGUGAUGGCUGCUCAGGGUAUGAAAAUGCAGAACAGCUGUCUGUGGAAGUGAGUUUCGAACUCCAGGCUGUUUCAUUUCCAGCUGAGCACAUUUUCUCUUAUUUUCCUGCAUACUGAGAGAACAUGUUCUCUUGCGUCUAAGUGCCACUCCUUGUCUCUACAAUACAACAGAACAAAUAGCCUAAUCAGACUGAAAUUCAGAGCAUGCUGAAAAGCUGGGAACAUUCAGGACGCAGUUAGAGAAGGUGAAAGCCUCCCUUAUAGCCUGGGAGGGCUGGCAGCGCUGCUACAAUACAGUGCUUAGGGGCAGAGGGCUGAUGACAGAGUGUUGCAUUCCCUUGGUGUGUUAGAGACAUCACCUGCAGAGGGAGGAUGUAAUAAAUAUCAUAGAAGGAGUUACACAAAUGGAAGGGCAGAACUGGGGGUGAUGCAAAGAAGCAAGGAUUAUGGAAGGUGAAUAUCCCUGGGCUCUACUGGGGGUAGUGAGAUCACCUGCAGGAACACAGCCUGGUGCUGGUCAGAGAAGCAGAGCACACAUCUUCCAGCCUCUUUUCUCCCAAGAUCAUCUGCCUGCAGAUGAUUUCACCAGAGAAACCCAAUCUCAGAGGCCUCCUCACGUCCAUUAAAAGGAAAAAUAACUGGAUCCAACCCAAACAGAAAACAGAGACCUGAUAUGGUAGUAAGCCUCCUGCCAGCUUCAAAGGAGACUGCAACAUUCACCUUGUAUGUUUCUGAUCCUCCUAAACACACACACAGCAGCUCAGUUAUACACCACAUGCACAUUUGUAUGUCUUAAAUUUGCAAAUAAUCUCUGACGUGGAGCCUCUCAGAUUACUCUGUGGAAAUAUAUAAGGCUGCAGCCACCACUGCAUUGCCCUUGGUUUACCAAGACUGUAAUAAUUUCUGAAGGGUUCCAGCAGCUUAGCUCCCUUUUCCAGUAACAGAGGCAAUUUGGCCACCUCUUAUCAAAGUUCCUCCUCUCCUUAAGGAGCACAGAAUUAUUUCUGAUACUAUCCCCACCGUACAUGCUCAUUUAACUGGUCUGCAAUUGCCCCUCCCACCUGGCUCUCCAAUUCAGUUUUCUCUACCAGCCAACUACCAAAGAUGCUGGUUCAGGCUUCCAAGGCUUCCCAUUAACCUCCUCCAUUCUUGUGCUGAGGGGAAAAUGCCUUGGCUGGGUGCAACUGCCAUGUUGGAAGAGGCUAACAAAAACAGUAGAUCCUGGACUGUGGUCAGUGGAGAAGACUCCAAAACUUCUACUAUGUGAUUCCUUGGUUUUCCUAAAUACACAAUUUUCUAAAAAAUGUAGGUAUUCAAACUUACUAAGCUGGCUUCUUUGACACCUUCUAGGAGUGGUCUUCUUAGCACCCUUCCAAUGUUACCACUUGGUCAC